rnacentral:lncRNA from 1 species
CCUCCCAGUCAGACAGAGCCUGGCCUGCCUGCCCCUGGAGCCUAGACUUCAAACUGGGUCCCAGCAUCCUCUGGGCUGUCUGGACGGUCAGGAGUGAAGCAACACCCACAGCUAGAGUGAGUACAGAGGAAGACGUGGACCCCAGGACUGCCACAGCUGCUGAGGACUCUGCAUGGCCUUCUCACAUCCAGACCUCAAGUCCAGGCAUGAAGGUUGAGCAGGGGGCCACUGGGAGUGUCCCAGCGGCUGGAAGGCACCUCCAGCUGCAGAUUCAUCGAUGCUGGGCAUAACCUGGUUAAUCUCCCAUCCCAUCCAUUCCAGGUUAUUGAAAUGACAGACCCCCAAGAAAACGGGAUUCUCCCGGGAAUUUCACACUAGGAGAAGAGAAGCCACAAGCCUAGGCCAGUCGGGGACAGGACACUUCUCCUGGGGAGAGCCUAGGACCUCGGUCGAUCACCUGACAGGAGAGGCUGGACGGGACCACACCUUGACCUUGGCCUGCUGAGCUCUGCAUAACUCUGGGCCUCUGGUGACUCCUCUGUCUCAUUUCAGGACUCACAUGGACUUGGGGUGGGGGGAGGGGGAGUCACACGAGCUCUGUCCAUUUUCUCAAUGUCGCUACAUCGA